AUAAUAGGUGCAACGUUCACUUUCUUGUAGUUUGAGCCUUCCUUGACCUUCAUUGUUUUUUGUUUUCCUUUUUUUUUCAAUGCUUCGAACUCCACAGAAUUAAACUCCUCGGUUCUGAAUUUCAAAAGGUCAAGAAAAGUCGAGUCAUUUCUGGUAUUUCUGGUU
rnacentral:ribozyme from 11 species